AGCGAACGCUGGCGGCAGGCCUAAUACAUGCAAGUCGAGCGGCCGUAGCAAUACGGCAGCGGCAGACGGGAGAGUAACACGUGGGAACGUACCUUUCGGUUCGGAACAACCCAGGGAAACUUGGGCUAAUACCGGAUACGUCCGUAAGGAGAAAGAUUUAUCGCCGAAAGAUCGGCCCGCGUCUGAUUAGCUUGUUGGUGAGGUAACGGCUCACCAAGGCGACGAUCAGUAGCUGGUCUGAGAGGAUGAUCAGCCUCACUGGGACUGAGACACGGCCCAGACUCCUACGGGAGGCAGCAGUAGGGAAUAUUGGACAAUGGGCGCAAGCCUGAUCCAGCCAUGCCGCGUGAGCGAUGAAGGCCCUAGGGUUGUAAAGCUCUUUCGGCGGGGAAGAUAAUGACGGUACCCGCAGAAGAAGCCCCGGCUAACUUCGUGCCAGCAGCCGCAGUAA
rnacentral:rRNA from 1 species